rnacentral:rRNA from 1 species
UACGUAGGUGGCAAGCGUUGUCCGGAAUUAUUGGGCGUAAAGCGCGCGCAGGCGGUCCUUUAAGUCUGAUGUGAAAGCCCACGGCUCAACCGUGGAGGGUCAUUGGAAACUGGGGGACUUGAGUACAGGAGAGAAGAGUGGAAUUCCACGUGUAGCGGUGAAAUGCGCAGAGAUCGGGAGGAACACCCGUAGCGAAGGCGGCGCUCUGGGCCGGUACUGACGCUGAGGAGCGAAAGCUAGGGGAGCAAACGGG